CCUACGGGAGGCAGCAGUGGGGAAUAUUGCACAAUGGGGGAAACCCUGAUGCAGCGACGCCGCGUGAGUGAAGAAGUAUUUCGGUACGUAAAGCUCUAUCAGCAGGGAAGAAAAUGACGGUACCUGACUAAGAAGCCCCGGCUAACUACGUGCCAGCAGCCGCGGUAAUACGUAGGGGGCAAGCGUUAUCCGGAUUUACUGGGUGUAAAGGGAGCGUAGACGGCAGCGCAAGUCUGGAGUGAAAUCCCAUGGCUUAACCAUGGAACUGCUUUGGAAACUGUGCAGCUAGAGUGCAGGAGAGGUAAGCGGAAUGCCUAGUGUAGCGGUGAAAUGCGUAGAUAUUAGGAGGAACACCAGUGGCGAAGGCGGCUUACUGGACUGUAACUGACGUUGAGGCUCGAAAGCGUGGGGAGCAAACAGGAUUAGAUACCCGAGGAGUC
rnacentral:rRNA from 1 species